UCACAAGGAUGAUACUCCUGAACUCUCUCUUGCUGAGAUUUUUGUGGAGAUAACACCUUACUACCUGAGUGGC
rnacentral:snoRNA from 1 species